rnacentral:rRNA from 1 species
CCUACGGGGGGCAGCAGUAGGGAAUCUUCGGCAAUGGGGGCAACCCUGACCGAGCAACGCCGCGUGAGUGAAGAAGGUUUUCGGAUCGUAAAGCUCUGUUGUAAGAGAAGAACGUGUGUGAGAGUGGAAAGUUCACACAGUGACGGUAACUUACCAGAAAGGGACGGCUAACUACGUGCCAGCAGCCGCGGUAAUACGUAGGUCCCGAGCGUUAUCCGGAUUUAUUGGGCGUAAAGCGAGCGCAGGCGGUUGGAUAAGUCUGAAGUUAAAGGCUGUGGCUUAACCAUAGUAUGCUUUGGAAACUG